GAUGAACGCUGGCGGCGUGCCUAAUACAUGCAAGUCGAGCGAACGGACGAGAAGCUUGCUUCUCUGAUGUUAGCGGCGGACGGGUGAGUAACACGUGGAUAACCUACCUAUAAGACUGGGAUAACUUCGGGAAACCGGAGCUAAUACCGGAUAAUAUUUUGAACCGCAUGGUUCAAAAGUGAAAGACGGUCUUGCUGUCACUUAUAGAUGGAUCCGCGCUGCAUUAGCUAGUUGGUAAGGUAACGGCUUACCAAGGCAACGAUGCAUAGCCGACCUGAGAGGGUGAUCGGCCACACUGGAACUGAGACACGGUCCAGACCCCUACGGGAGGCAGCAGUAGGGAAUCUUCCGCAAAGGGCGAAAGCCUGACGGAGCAACGCCGCGUGAGUGAUGAAGGUCUUCGGAUCGUAAAACUCUGUUAUUAGGGAAGAACAUAUGUGUAAGUAACUGUGCACAUCUUGACGGUACCUAAUCAGAAAGCCACGGCUAACUACGUG
rnacentral:rRNA from 1 species